UUUGUAAUAAAGGAUUUACAAGUUUUUCAUAUGCUUUUUUCUUUGAUUUGAGAUGGGUUGCUUCACGUUUUGUCUCCAUGUUCCUUUGUAUUUUUUGUGCAAAAUCUGUACAACCUGUAAAGUGAUGUCAUGAAAUAUUUGCAAGUAAAAUGAAUUGUUAAUGUGCACCAUGUGCACCUAAUCUUUAUUUUGGGGCUGUAAUUCAAAACACGGCGCUGAUGAGUGCGCAUGUGUGUUCUCUGUUCUAUGAUUUCGAUAUGAAAACAAUUUUUUUGUUCAUUUUCAGCUAUUUUUUGUUGUUUUUUUUUUUUUGAGACAAGUUACAGCCGCCGCUGACGAUUUUUUUCUUUUUUUGCGUUGAUCUAAUGCACCGACAUUUCGAUUUGGCGGUCACAAAUGCCAACCAAUCUUACGUAUGCGGAAUUGAUUUUCAGCGCAACAUUACGGAGGGGCGAUCGCUCACAUUUGGUGGCCAGCAAGCCAGCAAACCAGUCGAACGGACUGCAACCGCUAGUUCAUAUAUCCAUCCAUCCAUCCAUCCAAAUAGCCAAGAGUGUGUCCGUCCGUUCGUCCGUCAAUCGCCGUGAAUUGAGCAGAGCUUUGCUGGCGGUAAAUGGCGGUAGUAUUCACAUCUAUGAAUGCCUCCAGCCACUUUGGCCAUAUUUGGAAUGGGAUGUCGGAUGAUGGUAGUGGUUAGACGAAUGGAGCAGCAGAUCGGCUUUAUUUGUGUGCAAGUGGCUGUGUGUGUGUGUGUGUGUGGCAUUGUAAGAGGUUGAGUUAAUUUAAACAAAUUUUAUAUUUAAUUCUUUUUUCUGGCGAAACAACACCAAGAAAAAUUACUUUGGCAUAGCAAUAUUUAGAGAGACACCCCGUCUAGAGAGACGGGGCGGGCGGCAGCAAGUUCAUAUAAAAAAUCAAUUGCUUUCAAUUUCAAGGUUUUUUCGGUUGGAAUUUUAUUUCAAUUUGUCGCCGUUGCUGUUGUUUUCUUUUCUGUGUCUGUGGCCGUUUUUGCUAUCGAGAGAAAAAAGUGGCAUUUCAUGUUUUGUUUGGUUUGGCUUGUUUGUUUUAUUGAAAAUGACAGCGUUUUUUUCCAGCGAACCCAAAAAAAAAAAACGUAGUAAGCUUUAGUGUCGUUGGCGUGUUUAGAGGGGUUGUGGUUGAUUGAGUUUUUAGACAACACCAGAACAAAAUGGCAGCAGAUAUUAAAAAAUAGCAAAAAAAAAAA